rfam:Pseudomonas caspiana strain FBF102 scaffold00002, whole genome shotgun sequence.
AGAGUCGAUUGGACAGUCGCUGCCUCUUAUUGUUCGCAAUUAAGGGGGGGAGGAAAGUCCGGGCUCCAUAGGGCGGAGUGCCAGGUAACGCCUGGGAGGCGUGAGCCUACGGAAAGUGCCACAGAAAAUAACCGCCUAAGCGUUUCGGCGCCGGUAAGGGUGAAAAGGUGCGGUAAGAGCGCACCGCGCGUCUGGCAACAGUUCGUGGUCAAGGUAAACCCCACUCGGAGCAAGACCAAAUAGGGUUCCUAGGCGUGGCCCGCGCUGGAACCGGGUAGGUUGCUAAAGACGUCCAGUGAUGGCCGUCGUAGAGGAAUGACUGUCCUCGACAGAACCCGGCUUACAGAUCGACUCUCCAC